GCUGGGUGUGGUGGCUCACGCCUGUAAUCCCAGCACUUUGGGAGGCUGAGGCAGGCGGAUCACCUGAGGUCAGGAGUUUGAGACCAGCCUGGCCAACAUGGUGAAACCCUGUCUCUA
rfam:Homo sapiens chromosome 9, GRCh38 reference primary assembly.